rnacentral:lncRNA from 1 species
GAGUCCUUAUGCGAUAAGGAUUUUAUUUUUGAUUUUAAUUUAAGCACGCACUUAAUUAUUAAUUAUGCCAAAAGAGAGAGGGUAUCAUGAGUUUGACUUCUUUACAAAUAAAGAUUUGAGGAACUAAAAAGAUUGGACUAAAUCAAAAUGUUUGAUUUGAUCAAAGCCUUGUGGGAUUGGAACUCCUUAUUGGUAUGAGAAUGGAUCUCAUAUCAAAGCCUUCCUUUUAUUAUGCGCCUUGAGUCACCACACCCUCCUAUUAUCCGUGCCACAUCACAUGUUGGGAGAGGCUU